rnacentral:rRNA from 1 species
AUGAACUAGCUACUGAAUCACUAAUUGAUCUUAUCAAUGUGAUAUAGUAAGGGAAAACAAAUGAUAUUACUUUACUUAUAGUGUUGUCUAAUUCUGGUGCCAGAAGACUCGGUAAUACCAGUAACGCGAACGUUAGUCAUCUUUAUCAGGCGUAAAGGGUUUGUAGGCAGCUUUUAAAAAAAAUUCUUAACUAUAUUGUCCUUUUUUAUUCUUUUUUUUAUUAUUCUUUAUUUUAUAAUAUAAAAUAAAGACAAAAAAAAAGACAAAAAAGGAAUAAAUAGUGAAGUCUCUAAUUUGAGAGCUAGAAUCAAAUAGAAGUUAAAAAGUAUAAUACUUAGAGAAGGGUUGAUAUUCUUAGAACCUAAGGGGAAUACUAAAGGUGUAAACAACUAACUAUAAAUGAUUGACGCUGAGACACGAAGGUGAGGAUAGGAAAUAGGAUUAGAUACCCCGGUACCCCUCUCUGUAAACGAUGAAUGGUAGUUAUUAGUGUAUUACUGGUAACGAAGCUAACGCGUUAACCAUUCCGCCUUGGGAGUACGAUUGCAAAGUUGAAAACAAAAAAAUUAGUCGGUCUCGGAGCAAACGGAGUGAAGCAUGUUAUUUAAUUCAUAACCCCGAAAGGGAGG